UACGUAGGGUGCAAGCGUUAAUCGGAAUUACUGGGCGUAAAGCGUGCGCAGGCGGUUUUGUAAGUCUGACGUGAAAUCCCCGGGCUCAACCUGGGAAUUGCGUUGGAGACUGCACGGCUAGAGUGUGUCAGAGGGGGGUAGAAUUCCACGUGUAGCAGUGAAAUGCGUAGAGAUGUGGAGGAAUACCGAUGGCGAAGGCAGCCCCCUGGGAUAACACUGACGCUCAUGCACGAAAGCGUGGGGAGCAAACAGG
rnacentral:rRNA from 1 species